rnacentral:rRNA from 1 species
GUGUCUGUAGGUUGGUCGUGCCACCGGUACGUACUGGUCUAACUGAUUCCUCCUUCCUGAAGAACCGUAAUGCCAUUAAUUUGGUGUUGCGGGGAAACAGGACUGUUACUUUGAAAAAAUUAGAGUGUUUAAAGCAAGCUAACGCUUGAAUACAUUAGCAUGGAAUAAUGAAAUAGUACGAUCGAUCCUAUUUUGUUGGUUUCUAGGAUUGACGUA